rnacentral:rRNA from 1 species
UGGGGAAUUUUGGACAAUGGGCGAAAGCCUGAUCCAGCCAUGCCGCGUGCGGGAAGAAGGCCUUCGGGUUGUAAACCGCUUUAGUCCGGGAAAAGGGCUGACGUGCUAAUACCGCGUUGGUUUGAUGGUACUGGAAGAAUAAGCACCGGCUAACUACGUGCCAGCAGCCGCGGUAAUACGUAGGGUGCGAGCGUUAAUCGGAAUUACUGGGCGUAAAGCGUGCGCAGGCGGUUAUGCAAGACAGAUGUGGAAUCCCCGGGCUCAACCUGGGAACUGCCUUUGUGACUGCAUGGCUAGAGUGCGGCAGAGGGGGAUGGAAUUCCGCGUGUAGCAGUGAAAUGCGUAGAUAUGCGGAGGAACACCGAUGGCGAAGGCGGUCAUCUGGACUUCAACUGACGCUGAGGCGCGAAAGCGUGGGGAGCAAACA